rnacentral:rRNA from 1 species
UGCUCCUGGAUUCAGCGGCGGACGGGUGAGUAAUGCCUAGGAAUCUGCCUGGUAGUGGGGGAUAACGUCCGGAAACGGGCGCUAAUACCGCAUACGUCCUGAGGGAGAAAGUGGGGGAUCUUCGGACCUCACGCUAUCAGAUGAGCCUAGGUCGGAUUAGCUAGUUGGUGGGGUAAAGGCCUACCAAGGCGACGAUCCGUAACUGGUCUGAGAGGAUGAUCAGUCACACUGGAACUGAGACACGGUCCAGACUCCUACGGGAGGCACAAUGGGGAAUAUUGGACAAUGGGCGAAAGCCUGAUCCAGCCAUGCCGCGUGUGUGAAGAAGGUCUUCGGAUUGUAAAGCACUGUGAAGUUGGGAGGAAGGGCAGUAAGUUAAUACCUUGCUGUUUUGACGUUACCAACAGAAUAAGCACCGGCUAACUUCGUGCCAGCAGCCGCGGUAAUACGAAGGGUGCAAGCGUUAAUCGGAAUUACUGGGCGUAAAGCGCGCGUAGGUGGUUCAGCAAGUUGGAUGUGAAAUCCCCGGGCUCAACCUGGGAACUGCAUCCAAAACUACUGAGCUAGAGUACGGUAGAGGGUGGUGGAAUUUCCUGUGUAGCGGUGAAAUGCGUAGAUAUAGGAAGGAACACCAGUGGCGAAGGCGACCACCUGGACUGAUACUGACACUGAGGUGCGAAAGCGUGGGGAGCAAACAGGAUUAGAUACCCUGGUAGUCCACGCCGUAAACGAUGUCGACUAGCCGUUGGGAUCCUUGAGAUCUUAGUGGCGCAGCUAACGCGAUAAGUCGACCGCCUGUGGGAGUACGGCCG